rnacentral:rRNA from 1 species
AUACGGAGGGUGCAAGCGUUACUCGGAAUCACUGGGCGUAAAGCGCGCGCAGGCGGGCUGAUAAGUUGGAUGUGAAAGCCUACGGCUCAACCGUAGAACUGCAUCCAAAACUGUCAGUCUAGAGUGUGGGAGAGGAAGAUGGAAUUAGUUGUGUAGGGGUAAAAUCCGUAGAGAUAACUAGGAAUACCAAAAGCGAAGGCAAUCUUCUGGAACACUACUGACGCUGGGGCGCGAAGGCGUGGGGAGCAAACAGGAUUAGAAACCCCAGUAGUCC